GGGCUCCACUGCCGGGGAGAUGUAAGGCUAUUGUACGCACAAGAAUCCACUUUGAUCUUUCUGGUUAGCCCAGAGUAUGAGGGUGGCUGAGUACAUUUUCAUCUUCUCAUGUUUUGUGUGUUGUUUAUAUUAAUUCUUAAAAGAUUUUCUUCUGAUUUCUCUGUUUCUAAUUUGGAUCUUGCUAUGCAAUUGUACCCACUUUCUUGGACUUUCAGACCUGUAGAAGGUACUUGCUUUGAGUUGGAUCUACUACUAUGUUAAUUCUGGACCUUUUCUAACUACUUUUUACAUUGAAGUUCCAUGAAUGCUUUUGGUUUGCUUUUUGCCUCA
rnacentral:lncRNA from 1 species